UACAGAGGUGCCAAGCGUUAGGCGGAAUCACUGGGCUUAAAGCGCGUGUAGGUGGGUCGUUAAGUGUCCGCGUGAAAUCCCACGGCUCAACCGUGGAACUGCCGGGCAUACUGGCGAUCUUGAGGCAUUCAGGGGCGAGCGGAACAAGUGGUGGAGCGGUGAAAUGCGUAGAGAUGCGGAGGAACACCGAUGGCGAAGGCAGCCCCCUGGGCUAACACUGACGCUCAGGCACGAAAGCGUGGGGAGCAAACAGG
rnacentral:rRNA from 1 species